AGGACGAACGCUGGCGGCGUGCUUAACACAUGCAAGUCGAGCGACAGUGCCUCUUUCGGGGGCGUAUGGAGCGGCGAACGGGUGAGUAACACGUGAGUAACCUGCCUUCAGCUUUGGGAUAACCCUCGGAAACGGGGCUAAUACCGGGUAUUCACUUCUUGCGGCAUCGUGGGGGUGGAAGUUUUUGCGGCUGGGGAUGGGCUCGCGGCCUAUCAGCUUGUUGGUGGGGUGAUGGCCUACCAAGGCGGUGACGGGUA
rnacentral:rRNA from 1 species